rnacentral:rRNA from 1 species
GACGAACGCUGGCGGCGUGCCUAACACAUGCAAGUCGAACGGAAAGGCCCUGCUUUUGUGGGGUGCUCGAGUGGCGAACGGGUGAGUAACACGUGAGUAACCUGCCCUUGACUUUGGGAUAACUUCAGGAAACUGGGGCUAAUACCGGAUAGGAGCUCCUGCUGCAUGGUGGGGGUUGGAAAGUUUCGGCGGUUGGGGAUGGACUCGCGGCUUAUCAGCUUGUUGGUGGGGUAGUGGCUUACUAAGGCUUUGACGGGUAGCCGGCCUGAGAGGGUGACCGGCCACAUUGGGACUGAGAUACGGCCCAGACUCCUACGGGAGGCAGCAGUGGGGAAUAUUGCACAAUGGGCGGAAGCCUGAUGCAGCAACGCCGCGUGCGGGAUGACGGCCUUCGGGUUGUAAACCGCUUUCGCCUGUGACGAAGCGUGAGUGACGGUAAUGGGUAAAGAAGCACCGGCUAACUACGUG